CGUAGGGUCCGAGCGUUGUCCGGAAUUAUUGGGGCGUAAAGGGCUUGUAGGCGGUCCGUCGCGUCAGGAGUGAAAACUCGGGGCUUAGCCCCGACGCUGCUUUGUAUACGGGCGGGACUAGAGGGAGUGCAGGGGAGGAACGGAAUUCCUGGUGGAGCGGUGGAAUGCGCAGAUAUCAGGAGGAACACCGGUGGCGAAGGCGGUUCUCUGGGCGAUUACCUGACGCUGAGAAGCGAAGACGUGGGGAGCAAACAGGCUU
rnacentral:rRNA from 1 species